rnacentral:lncRNA from 1 species
UCCAUUUCUACUUAAUUAUAUAUAUCUAUUGAUCAAUGCAGAUUAACAGGGACUUCAGAGCGGUAGCAGCCCCUCUACAGACAGCAACAGAGGCAGCCGACCACAGGUUUCUAACAAUAUUCUGCAUGAAAAUUAAUGAAAUCAAGAAGAAAGAUGUACCUGGCAAAAUAGAAACAGCUAAAACUUGAUUGCACUAUUAUUUCUAAUUGCACUUUAUAGUGUAAUUGCACUAUUGUUUCUCAACAGAGCUAAAACUUGAUUAAGAGUAAAUUUUCACCUGAAUUAUGCUUAUGAACUAAACUAAACUAAACUAAACUAACUGCUAGAAGAAAAAAAAGAAAAAAAGAAAAAAGGGUCUAUAGCAAAUUAUCAAAUCAAAAACUAAACAAAGGAAACUAAAAAUAUACUCAAAUUGUGCUUGGAUGCGCACAGAAAGCAAGAACAGAAUUGGGCAGUAGGAGACGAGAUUCUUAUGGUAUGUGGCUGUGCAAGAUAAACUGAUUAACAAUUUAAAGUGGGAGCAGCCAUCAGCAGCAGCAGCACCACCACCAUCUUCACCACCACUAAAACAAGUGGGUUUUAAAGCCUUGCAGCAACAACAGACUAAAAUAGGAGUUGACCUAUGAAGAAUGUGCACUUGGUCGCUACCUCUGGGUGUGAUUUACUAAUUACUGACCUCUACCAUAAUGGUAUGUACCACUUGGACAAGAAGAGACCAG